CAUUGCUAUGUCAUCGAGAUCUCGUCCCAAAAAGCGGGAAAUCUUCUCCACUGCCGACCUCAGAUCCUGCCAUAAUGCAGAAAGCACAGGAUGGGAGGAAGAGGAUGUUGUACUCAUCUUUGUGUGUGUGCCACUCCCGGAUGUGAUCAAACCACGACGAUCCAGCAACUGCAAAGUCCAGCAGCACACAGAGACGAAUCUCUCAAUGUAGACCCUCACAGGGAUUCCGCCUUACCGUGUCCAGCGAGGAACUGCUGCAGAAACUCUUCAAAGCUCUUGGGGGUCUCCAGAAAUAUUUCCAAUAAGACAGGUCUUCCAAGUGGCUGUUAGACCUGCUAGACACCAAAACUGCCCCCAUCAGAUAAACAGCGCUUAAAGCUUUGAUCUUUGAGAGAGAGGAGAACAUCAAGCUGCUUCAGAUCUGCAAA